rnacentral:rRNA from 1 species
AUUGAACGCUGGCGGCAUGCCUUACACAUGCAAGUCGAACGGUAACGCGGGGCAACCUGGCGACGAGUGGCGAACGGGUGAGUAAAGUAUCGGAACGUGCCCAAUAGUGGGGGAUAGCCCGGCGAAAGCCGGAUUAAUACCGCAUGAGACCUGAGGGUGAAAGCGGGGGACUCGCAAGAGCCUCGCGCUGUUGGAGCGGCCGAUAUCAGAUUAGGUAGUUGGUGGGGUAAAGGCCUACCAAGCCGACGAUCUGUAGCUGGUCUGAGAGGACGACCAGCCACACUGGGACUGAGACACGGCCCAGACUCCUACGGGAGGCAGCAGUGGGGAAUUUUGGACAAUGGGCGCAAGCCUGAUCCAGCCAUGCCGCGUGCGGGAAGAAGGCCUCGGUUGUAACG